GCGCGUUUAGCUCAGUGGUAGAGCGUCUCAUUGACAUUGAGAAGGCCAGAAGUUCAAUUCUUCUAACGCGCACCA
rnacentral:tRNA from 1 species